rnacentral:rRNA from 1 species
UACGGGGGGGGCAAGCGUUGUUCGGAAUUACUGGGCGUAAAGGGCUCGUAGGCGGCCAACUAAGUCAGACGUGAAAUCCCCAGGCUCAACUUGGGAACUGCGUCUGAUACUGGAUGGCUUGAAUUCGGGAGAGGGAUGCAGAAUUCCAGGUGUAGCGGUGAAAUGCGUAGAUAUCUGGAGGAAUACCGGUGGCGAAGGCGGCAUCCUGGACCGAGAUUGACACUGAUGAGCGAAAGCCAGGGGAGCAAACGGG